rnacentral:rRNA from 1 species
GACGAACGCUGGCGGCGUGCUUAACACAUGCAAGUCGAACGGAAAGGCCCUGCUUUUGUGGGCUGCUCGAUUGGCGAACGGGUGAGUAACACGUGUGUAACCUGCCCUUGACUUUGGGAUAACUUCAGGAAACUGGGGCUAAUACCGGAUAGGAGCUCCUGCUGCAUGGUGGGGGCUGGAGAGUUUCGGCGGUUGGGGAUGGACUCGCGGCUUAUCAGCUUGCUGGUGGGGUAGUGGCUUACCAAGGCUUUGACGGGUAGCCGGCCUGAGAGGGUGACCGGCCACAUUGGGACUGAGAUACGGCCCAGACUCCUACGGGAGGCAGCGGUGGGGAGGAUUACACAGGGGGAGGAAGGCUGGUGCAGCACCGCCGCGUGGGGGAUGACGGCCUGCGGGUUGUGAACCGCUUUCGCCUGUGACGAAGCGUGAGUGACGGUAAUGGGUAAAGAAGCACCGGCUAACUACGUG